UUAUCGGCCGACUUUCUCGCAGAGGAACAAUUUUCAGGAUGUGCGCAUGCGCUAAAAAUCUGUCAUGUUCUCUGCGACGAUUUCAGAGCUAGUGUUCACCGCUCACUAGCCGACGAUAAAAUCGGCGACUCUAGCCAAUUAGAUUGCUUCCAGAGAUCACGUGCUUUUCUCUCUCAUUUUGGAAACAUGGCGCUUUUUCGUUGGAGCGAAAAUCAAAUUUUUCAAUUGAUUGAUUUUUAUAGAGACCAUGCUGUGUUGUGGGACACAAAUAACAUAAAUUAUAAAAAUAAAAAGUUAAAGGAUUCCCUUAUUUUGGUAAGUUAUCUUCCCGUUACUUUAUCAUCAAAUAUUUUUUUAUUCGUGAUGAAAAUUAUUUUAUGUUGGUUAAACAAAUUACAGCUCAAUUUAAUACAAUAUUGCUCAAUUUUAUUAGCUGAUUAACUGAUAUAGCAAUAUGAUUACAGUUUUCAGAACUGUAUUAGUUAUUAAACUAUACCGAUAGUAUUUUUUAAUAUUCAGUAUGAUAUGCUAUUUUAAGAUUUUGCAUAUUUAUAUUUCUUAUUUGAAAUUUUUGUAUUGAAAUUACACUAUUCCUUUCUACUAUAGUAAUCUUUAUUCUGUAUUAGUACUUUUUACUCAUAUUGUUGCGGUUUUCAUAACAUUAUUGUCUAUUUAUUUAAUAGUAAAGGUUAUCAUUUAAAGCACAGUAGUUAUUUACUUUUUCUGAAGCAUGGUUAUUUUAACAUUUCAGGACUUAAGCACACAAAUAUGCGUUCCAGAAAAUGAAAUUAAAAAAAAAAAAUGGAGUAACCUGCGUACUCAAUUUACAAAGGAGAAACAUAAAGAGAAAAAAAUUAUACAUCUGGUGCAAGCACUGCCAUGCAGUACAAAUCGGCAUGGCAGUUUUACACAUCGUUACAAUUUUUAAGUGAUGUCGUGUCCUUAAGGAAUACUGUGACUUCUUUGGAUUUUAAUGAUACUAGUACACAAGAAAGAAGUGCAGAAGUUACCAGUCAUUCUGAGGAGAUGUUUGACAUGAACGAUUUUGAAGACACUGAAGAGACACAGAGAGAACUAUGUCAUACACAAACACUACCACAGCUAAAAAGACACACAUCAAACACUACAACUUCAAACAAAAAAAACAGAAACACGAUCACAUUUACACAGCAGCCACAACAACACUUGAAGAAAUUUCUACAAUAUUAAAAUCAAAAAAACACUACUCCAAAUACAUUUACACAGUUCGGUUCCUUUGUUGGUUCCGAACUAAGUCUAAUCCGUGACCCUCAACUCCUCACAGACACAAAAUAUAAAAUAUACCAAAUUCUCACAGAUGCACAGACAGAACAAAAUGUAUUAGAUUCCAUGAACAACACAGAAUAAAUAAGAAACUUAGAUAUAUUUAUUACUUACCACAUUAUUUUGUAACAUAAAAUAAAAAUACUUAUAAAUAA